rnacentral:rRNA from 1 species
CCUACGGGAGGCAGCAGUGGGGAAUAUUGGACAAUGGGGGCAACCCUGAUCCAGCCAUGCCGCGUGUGUGAAGAAGGCCCUCGGGUUGUAAAGCACUUUCAGUGAGGAAGAACGCCUGGUGGUUAAUACCCAUCAGGAAAGACAUCACUCACAGAAGAAGCACCGGCUAACUCCGUGCCAGCAGCCGCGGUAAUACGGAGGGUGCGAGCGUUAAUCGGAAUUACUGGGCAUAAAGCGCGCGUAGGUGGCUUGAUAAGCCGGUUGUGAAAGCCCCGGGCUCAACCUGGGAACGGCAUCCGGAACUGUCAAGCUAGAGGGUAGGGGAGGAAGGUAGAAUUCCCGGUGUAGCGGUGAAAUGCGUAGAGAUCGGGAGGAAUACCAGUGGCGAAGGCGGCCUUCUGGACUGACACUGACACUGAGGGGCGAAAGCGUGGGUAGCAAACAGGAUUAGAUACCCUUGUAGUC